rfam:Danio rerio unplaced genomic contig CTG2478, GRCz11 reference primary assembly.
GGCCCAGUGGCCUAAUGGAUAAGGAAUCAGCCUUCAAAGCUAGGGAUUGUGGGUUUAAGUCCCAUUUGGGUUG